CAGUAGCCGCGGGAAUACAGAGGGUGCGAGCGUUAAUCGGAUUUACUGGGCGUAAAGCGUGCGUAGGCGGCUUUUUAAGUCGGAUGUGAAAUCCCUGAGCUUAACUUAGGAAUUGCAUUCGAUACUGGGAAGCUAGAGUAUGGGAGAGGAUGGUAGAAUUCCAGGUGUAGCGGUGAAAUGCGUAAAGAUCUGGAGGAAUACCGAUGGCGAAGGCAGCCAUCUGGCCUAAUACUGACGCUGAGGUACGAAAGCAUGGGGAGCAAACAGGAUUAGAGACCCCGGUAGUCCCUGUCUCUUAUAC
rnacentral:rRNA from 1 species